UCGGCAAUGGGCGAAAGCCUGACCGAGCGACGCCGCGUGCGGGGUGAAGGCCUUCGGGUUGUAAACCGCUGUCGUUGGGGAGGAAAUGCAGGGGGGUUCUCCCCUCUGUUUGACCUAUCCAAGGAGGAAGUACGGGCUAAGUUCGUGCCAGCAGCCGCGGUAAGACGAACCGUACGAACGUUAUUCGGUAUUACUGGGCUUAAAGAGUUCGUAGGCGGCGAAGUAGGUGAGGUGUGAAAGCCCUCGGCUCAACCGAGGAACUGCGCUUCAAACCACUUUGCUAGAGGGAGAUAGAGGUAAGCGGAACAGAUGGUGGAACGGUGAAAUGUAUUGAUAUCAUCUGGAACACCGGUGGCGAAAGCGGCUUACUGGGUCUUUUCUGACGCUGAGGAACGAAAGCUAGGGUAGCGAACGGGAUUAGAUACCCCGGUAGUCCUAGCCGUAAACGAUGAGCACUAGUCUGAGGGACUUUCACGGUUUCUCGGACGUAGCGAAAGUGUUAAGUGCUCCGCCUGGGGAGUAUGGUCGCAAGGCUGAAACUCAAAGG
rnacentral:rRNA from 1 species